UUUGGAGCUUAACGGCGGAAGUGAGAUUCCAUGACUUGAACCAAGGCGGCUCUAGUCUGAGAAGUACCUUGUGGUCUAUAAUCCUUUAGAACAAGACCGAAUCUCGUUGGUCUCAGUCUAUGUGAGUUCCCCGACAGUGCAAGUGUUCUCUGCUUCAGGAAAACCUGUGGAAGUUCAAGUCAGCGCAGUUUGGGAUACAGCAAAUACUAUUUCAGAAACAGCCUAUGAGAUCUCUUUUCGAGCACAUAUACCGCCAUUGGGACUGAAAGUGUAUAAGAUUUUGGAAUCAGCAAGUUCAAAUUCACAUUUAGCUGAUUAUGUCUUGUAUAAGAAUAAAGUAGAAGAUAGCGGAAUUUUCACCAUAAAGAAUAUGAUAAAUACUGAAGAAGGUAUAACACUAGAGAACUCCUUUGUUUUACUUCGGUUUGAUCAAACUGGACUUAUGAAG
rnacentral:lncRNA from 10 species